GUGCUCACUUGGACAGCGCAUAUACUAAUAUUGGAACGUUAUAGAGAAGAUAGCAUGGCCCUGUAGAAGGAUGACAUGCAAAUUGGUGAAGUGUUCCAUAUUUAA